rnacentral:rRNA from 1 species
GAAUAUUGGACAAUGGGCGAAAGCCUGAUCCAGCCAUGCCGCGUGUGUGAAGAAGGUCUUCGGAUUGUAAAGCACUUUAAGUUGGGAGGAAGGGCAGUAAGUUAAUACCUUGCUGUUUUGACGUUACCGACAGAAUAAGCACCGGCUAACUCUGUGCCAGCAGCCGCGGUAAUACAGAGGGUGCAAGCGUUAAUCGGAAUUACUGGGCGUAAAGCGCGCGUAGGUGGUUUGUUAAGUUGGAUGUGAAAGCCCCGGGCUCAACCUGGGAACUGCAUCCAAAACUGGCAAGCUAGAGUACGGUAGAGGGUGGUGGAAUUUCCUGUGUAGCGGUGAAAUGCGUAGAUAUAGGAAGGAACACCAGUGGCGAAGGCGGCUCGCUGGGCCGAAACUGACGCUGAGGCACGAAAGCGUGGGGAGCGAACAGG